rnacentral:lncRNA from 1 species
AGUCAUUUUAGAAGGUAAUUUUUCCGGAUAGAGUCUAGAUCUCUGUAAAUAGUGAUUCCUGCAGAAAAUGCUUUGAGUCACCUAAGUUCAUAGAAGUCCAACUCGCUCUCUCUUCCCCAGAAGUCUGGCCUUGAGAACUCUGAGCGCUGACCUUGCAGCCUCUGAGGCUCCAGACAGCUCCAGCCCUCUUGGCCCUCCCCUCUCAGGCCAGACCUCCUUCCCUGCCUCCCCCAGAGCCUUAUGCUAAUGAUGGGGGUAGGGUCUAGUGCAGCUUGUGCUCCGCCCCUCACCUCACUGACCACUUGGCUGCCUUCUUGUCCUCUUGAGCUGGUCAUUGACCCUCUGUUCCCAAAAGCUGUGUUUACUGUUUCGUGCUCUGGAGUAUGGAUCCUGGACAGUAAAGCCUGCCCCACUGCAAGUGUGCCAUUGGGACC